rnacentral:rRNA from 1 species
AGUAUAAGCCAUUACGGACCACCCACUGGCACUUAACGCCCUUGCAACCACCAUAACAACAUAUUCAAGAAAACCCUAUCAACUUCAACGUUAACCUUACACCAGAACAUUCCAGGAAAGAUUAAAAAAGAGAGAAGGAACUCGGCAAAUUUUAGCCCCGCCUGUUUACCAAAAACAUCACCUCUUGACAUAAUAUAAGAGGCCCAGCCUGCCCGGUGACAAAGUUUAACGGCUACGGUACCCUGACCGUACGAAGGUAGCAUAAUCACUUGUUCCUUAAAUAGGGACCUGUAUCAACGGCAUCACGAGGGCUGCACUGUCUCCUCUCUUCAAUCAGUGAAACUGAUCUCCCCGUGAAGAAGCGGGGAUUAAGCCAUAAGACGAGAAGACCCCAUGGAGCUUUAAACACGUACUCACACUAUACUUACAUGCCCCUUAACUAAAAGCCCUGAGUACAAGUUUUAGGUUGGGGAGACCGCGGAGAACAACUAAACCUCCACGACAAACGGCCCUUAAGUCCUUAUCUACGAGCCACAGCUCUAAGAAUC